ensembl:misc_RNA
CUAGCAGUUUUGAAGUCUCAAGUCCUCCAUGUAAUCCAAAGCAGGAACCGCACAGGUAGCAGCAGUGCAAGCUUCUACACACUGCCUUGCCACUGUACCUCAGCCCUCAGAAGGGACAUCAGGAAUGAGAGUGGUUUAGUUACCAUGCCUAUCCAAUCCCAGGCUUCU